GGUAAAAUGGCUGAAUAUAGGCGGUAAAUUGUAAAUUUACUAAUGAAUAUUUUUUAAUGUUCUUUUUCCA
rnacentral:tRNA from 1 species